rnacentral:rRNA from 1 species
UAGGGAAUCUUCCACAAUGGGCGAAAGCCUGAUGGAGCAACGCCGCGUGUGUGAUGAAGGGUUUCGGCUCGUAAAUCACUGUUGUAAGAGAAGAAUGACAUUGAGAGUAACUGUUCAAUGUGUGACGGUAUCUUACCAGAAAGGAACGGCUAAAUACGUGCCAG